rnacentral:rRNA from 1 species
UCCGUAGGUGAACCUGCGGAAGGAUCAUUACUGUGAUUUAGUACUACACUGCGUGAGCGGAACGAAAACAAAAACACCUAAAAUGUGGAAUAUAGCAUAUAGUCGACAAGAGAAAUCUACGAAAAACAAACAAAACUUUCAACAACGGAUCUCUUGGUUCUCGCAUCGAUGAAGAGCGCAGCGAAAUGCGAUACCUAGUGUGAAUUGCAGCCAUCGUGAAUCAUCGAGUUCUUGAACGCACAUUGCGCCCCUCGGCAUUCCGGGGGGCAUGCCUGUUUGAGCGUCGUUUCCAUCUUGCGCGUGCGCAGAGUUGGGGGAGCGGAGCGGACGACGUGUAAAGAGCGUCGGAGCUGCGACUCGCCUGAAAGGGAGCGAAGCUGGCCGAGCGAACUAGACUUUUUUUCAGGGACGCUUGGCGGCCGAGAGCGAGUGUUGCGAGACAACAAAAAGCUCGAUCUCAAAUCAGGUAGGAAUACCCGCUGAACUUAAGCUUAUCAAUAAGCGGAGGA